AUGGGAGUCGUCCUCGGAGGGACUUCCCGAAUGACCAUACCGGGGAAUUCAACCGUACUCCGUGCAGCUAUUGUUGUUGAUCCUGCAGAGCCUACCCAAAGGUUCAGGCCGGAUUGUAGGAAGUGGGCGAUACGUUUUUGUAUUUCUAUGAGAAGCUCUACGGCAACCACGAUUCCCAGUACAUUCUCUACCAUAGAAUUCGGUCUUCGGGGUCAACCCGACCCCGGCGGCUUCUAUGAAGAAGGCGGCGCAAAGGAGGCUCAAGGGCUUGUUAAGGAAGGCGGUUAG